rnacentral:rRNA from 1 species
UACAGAGGGGGGCAAGCGUUAUUCGGAAUUAUUUGGGCGUAAAGGGCGCGUAGGCGGCUUGGCAAGUGGAAGGUGAAAUCCCUCGGCUUUAACCGAGGAACUGCCCUCCAAAACUGCUUUUUGCUUUGAGGCCGGGAGAGGUGAGUGGAAUUUCCCAGUGUAGCGGUGAAAUGCGUAGAUAUUGGGAGGAACACCAGUGGCGAAGGCGGCUCACUGGACCGGUUUCUGACGCUGAGGCGCGAAAGCGUGGGGAGCAAACAGG